AUUGAACGCUGGCGGCAGGCCUAACACAUGCAAGUCGAACGAGUCGCGGACGGGUGUGUAAUGUCUGGGAAACUGCCUGAUGGAGGGGGAUCUCCACUGGACACGGUAUCUAAUACCGUAUACCCUCAUAUGUCCCCAGAUGGGUUUAGCUAGUUGGUGGGGUAACGGCUCACCAAGGCGAUGACCCCUAGCUGGUCUGAGAGGAUGACCAGCCACACUGGAACUGAGACACGGUCCAGACUCCUACGGGAGGCAGCAGUGGGGAAUAUUGCACAAUGGGCGCAAGCCUGAUGCAGCCAUGCCGCGUGUAUGAAGAAGGCCUUCGGGUUGUAAAGUACUUUCAGCGGGGAGGCGUUACCCGCAGAAGAAGCACCGGCUAACUCCGUGCCAGCAGCCGCGGUAAUAC
rnacentral:rRNA from 1 species